GGGUGUUCGUCGGUGGCGGUGACGGUGCCCGGGCGCUACCUUGACACGGUAGAGGUCACUGGUUCAAUCCCAGUAUCGCCCACCA
rnacentral:tRNA from 1 species